GUGGGAGCUGGGACUGGGAGAGACGAGCUGCCGUCCUGCUGAACCGCGGCAGAGCUUGACAACAGGCACCGCUGCCUGGAAACGUCAUGAGGCUGCUCCAGCAUGGAUGUGUUGCAGAUGUGCUGAUAGCAGUGAGCUGAGUGCUGACACUGCUGUGGAGAAGGUGCAGAUGCAGUCACCUGUGGAUUGAUACCCACCAACUCUUCA
rnacentral:lncRNA from 1 species